GGGCUAAAGCUUUAUUCAGUCUUUUUUUGGUGAAAAGAUAUUUCAAGCUGUUGAAUAUAUUCUUAACUUAGAAAAACAUGCAGGCGCCCCCCACUGGCCCCCACCCGGUGGAGAAGGUAACCUUCCCUGAGACCAGCUCUUGAGAAGAGUCGUUGAGUCUCUGUGCCCCAGGGACUUGGGGAGCAGCUUGACCAGGGGAGGUAGACCCUGCCUUCCUGGGCCCUCCAGUCCAGCGGGAAGGAUGGCAGUGAGUGCGUACAGGUGCCAGGCUUACCAGCGGGCUGCUGACCUAGUCACCUGGCUGGAGCCGGGGCCCAAGGAUGAGUAGGAGCUAUGGGUGAGGCCUCCAGGGCUCUGCUGUGGGCGACCCAGUGUUGAGUGAGGGCCUGCCAGCUGGAAGGCAGGCACAGUAGGAUUGAGGGGAGUGCAGGGGAGGGGGCAUCGGCUGGGCCUGGGCGUGCCUCAAGCUGGGUGAUUUUAUUUAUUCAUGCAUGCAUGCAUGCCUUGCCUACAACAUAUGGAAGUUCCCAGGCCAGGGAAUCAAACCUGCACCACAGCAGUGACAGCGCUGGAUUCUUAACCUGCUGUGCCACAUGUGUGAGCAUUGAAAGUCUCACCAAGAGCCUCGAGAGGCCACUGAGUGAGCAGGGAAGUGAUGAGAUGGCUUUGGAGAGGGGUGCUGUGGGGCUGAAGGGCAGGAGAGCAGCUGCAGGAGCGCAGGGCAGCCUGGUGGCCUGCCUCCCAGGAGCAGGAAGAGGUAGCAUCGGGGGCGCCUGGGGGUGGGUUUGGGGAGUGGUCUAGAAGGGUGCCCAGGGGCUGUGGCUGCGGGUGCAGACCAUUGGUGCAGGACUCCCAGUGGGCACCGACCCCAGCAGGGGCUGUGACGCAGAGGCCCCCAGGGCCGGCUCUGAGCUGAAAGGGGCGGUGUCUGUCCUUAGCUUGGUGGCUGGGGCGGGCACGCCGCGCAGGCCCAGCGAACAUCUGCCCACUGGGCACCUUUUUGCGUUUGCUGAUGGAGCAGGAGGGAGAGGUGCUUUCACUCUUUGUAACAUUUUGUUUGUUUGUUUUCUGGCCGUGCGCACAGCUUGCAGGGAAGUCGCUGGCCGGGGAUCAAACCCACUGCUCAGUAGUGCUCACGCUGAAUCCCCAACUGCUGGGCCACCAGGGACUCUAAAGUUUGUAGUAGUUCUGUUGUCUUCCUUCAUAAUCUGUUAUCACCAUGAAGUCAAGCAUUAUCUCGACAUUACAGCUGAUCUGUUUUCUUCAAGCUCUCCAUGUUUGCCUUGCAAGAAUCUCGAUAGAAAUGACAUUUAGAGUGAGUCCCCAGGGGUGUCUGGUUGCUGUGGUUUUGCUUGCAUCCUGGCUCUCGAGGAGCAGUGUGGAGAGCUGGGAGCGGCUUGUGUUCUGCAGNNNNNNNNNNNCCCGCCCCCGUGGGCGCCCGGCCUGCUGAGAGGCUCUUUCGGAGCCGUCAGCUCGCCCUCCGGGAGGCUGGAGCGCCAGUUCCCUGGCUAGAGGUCCCCCGCGUCAGCUGGCCCUGCUGAAGUGAUAAAACAGCAGUGGAAUCGUGUAAGGAGUCAACUUGGUCUCUCUCGGGCUGCAUCGCAGCCCCCGCCAAGUGGCUCCCGCUACUCGGUCGCCGCCCCCUCCCCACCGCCGGCUGGGGCCUGGGUUGGGUGCUUAGGGCCAGGCGCUCAGGAUGACCCCGCAGGCAUCCUGGAGUCUCCCCUUGUUUCACCCCAGGCCACAGGCGACUGCGCUCAGAAGUGUCACUGUAACCCAUGCGGCCCUCCUCCUCCGGGCCGUCCUCGUCGCCCCAGCACCCGUCACCUCCCUCCUCCUCCGGGCCGUCCUCGUCGCCCCAGCACCCGUCACCUCCCUGGUCACCUCCCUGGUGGGCGGCAUUGCUCACCCCGCUCUCCCUGUGGCCACAGAUGAGCUUUAAAAAGAGCUUAGAAGUGUUUGGGGAAACGCUUUGAUCUUACAGAGAAGUAGCAAAUAACAGGGCAGGGAACCCCGUCUCGCGUCUGCGGGUGUGUUGCCGACACGCUGCCCUCGCCCUUGGCCUUGGGUGGUGCUGGCGUCGCUGCCUGAAGGAGGAGGACUUGGGCUCGCCCGCCCCCUCUGUAGGAGGGGCCGCAGCGGGUCCCCAGCCCCCCGGCCUCUCCUGGCGGCCGGUCAGGAGGGUAGAACGUUGCUUCAGUUGCCCUUGCCCUCCGCUUUCGUCGCGAUUAAACUCAAGUUUGGCAGGAAAAUCACAGCAAUGACACCUUUUUUCUCCUUGUGUCCUUCAGGGUGAUGCCGGGUUUGACUCUGUCAUCAUCACUUAGGUGGUGUCUUCCUGGCGUCACACAAAGUCACUUUGUCCUCUUUUGAUCCAUAAGCGUUUCGUUUGGAUGCACUUUGAAAUUGUGUCAAUAUCCCAUUUCUCAUCAGUUUUUAAUGUAGUAGUGGAUCAAUAUCCGUGUGUGCCGAUUCUGCUUCAUUUAACGGGCUGGUUACUCUGUGACUGUCAAUCACGAUCUUGGCUCACUGUCCUUCGAGCACGUUCUUACUUUCAGGCACGACGAGGUGUCCUGGCUCCUCGUCUUUUCCCGCCCAGCUCUGGAGUUGGCCCUGGUUCCUUGGCUGCAGACUGGGAUUCGGGAGCCGAGAUCUGGCGCUAGUUGCGCUCUCAGCUGGGGUGUUGCUGCCUCAGGGCUUCUCCAUAGACAAAGUGGAGGCUCCAUGGGUACCUUCCCACCCAUUUAUCUGUGUGUUUUCUGCAUCCACGUAUAUUGAAACCAUGAGUUCACGCUGGCUGACGCCUCCUCUUCUAAGCCACUGUUAGAGGGUUUCGUCGUCUUCCUCAUCCGUAACUUCCUUUUCUGACAGUGCGGAGCCUGGCUCCCGCUGUGCCGAAUGUGCGGGCUGUGUGAGCAUCCUUCUCCAUGCAGCAGACCUCCUGUCCGUCCCCUGCCCCUCAUCCCAGCAUCACCCAGUUUGGGCUCUCACCUCUGCUCCCUGUUGGGCUCUGCCUAAAGGGGGCACCGGAUGGAGACUGGAGGGGCUGGCAGAGGGAGAAAGGACUGGUGGCUUCCUGCUGGCUUCCUCUCUCUCUGAGGGACACUCCCGCAGCCCUCUUCCUCCUGGCGGCAGGAAGCGUCUUCUGGUCUGGGCAUUUUCGCAGAGACCCCAGCUCCCCGGGCCCGCCCCUAGGGCCCGCCUUUGCUUCGAGAGCCCAGCCACCAGCAGCCGACCCGAGGCCGGGCCUCCAGAACUCCGCUGCUUUCUUUGGUUGCCCUGAUCCUAAGGGUAGCGGUUGCUUCCUGCAUCUGCGGUGCCCGUGUUAAUCCUUUUCGCCUUUCUGGGCACCUAGUUCACAGUCCUUUGUGUGGUAGCUCCUUCAGGUGGCUGGUGUGGUUUCUGUCUGUUGAUGCUCCCCGGUCCGGAUGGCUGCGGGUGUAGACACUGAUUGACACCCCCUUUGAAGGUCCCUCUUCCUUCUUUUCACUGGCUGAGCCCUUCCGUCUUUCUUGGUCCCCUCCUGCCAGAGUGAUUUCAAUGCCUCUCAGUACUCGUGUGGUUCGCGGGGUGGUCGGCUGCUGUGUGUGAGUUUCUGUCUGGUCUCAGCUGAUGCAGAGUCUCAAGGAUCUCUGCACACGCCUGCAGGACUUCUCCUGGGUCCUCAGAACUGUUUGCAGAUACUUGGCAUUUACAAAGAAACGUUUUCCUUCUGGAUCCUUUUAUUUAUUUGUUUUUUUUUUUUUUUUACAUUUUUUUGGUCUUGUCUUUUUAGGGCCUCACUCGCGGCCUGUGGAAGUUCCCAGGCUAGGGGUCGAAUCGAAGCUGUAGCUGCCAGCCUACACCACAGCCCCAGCAACUCGGGAUCCGAGCCGCAUCUGUGACCUACACCACAGCUCACGGCAAUGCCGGAUCCCCAACCCACUGAUCGAGGCGAGGGAUCGAACCCGCAACCUCAUGGUUCCUAGUCGGAUUUGUUAAACAUUGAGCCACGACGGGAACUCUCUUGUUCUAUUUUUAAAAAUUAGGUUUCAUUCAAUUUCAAUCAAGUCGAUUUCUCAUUGCUUGAUUCAGUUUCGUCACCUUUUCAGCCUUCGUCUAAGGAGUUUCCACAGCCCUUGCCCAGGCUGUCACCCUGGUCCUUCCUUUCAGGGACACUGCAGAAGCAACCCAGACAGCUUCUCUAGAAGGGCAAGGGGGUUAGGGUUAGGGUUAGGGUUAGGGUUAGGGUUAGUAGCUUCAAGUAAGAUAAGUGACAUGGGAAGAAAAGAGAUGCAGAGAAAGCUGUUUAGGUCUCGUCCUUGCCGCAGGGACUUCUUCGCCGCUGCAACCCUCCCUGCCGAUGGGUCCCUGAGGCGGGAGGGGCUUUGGCCUGUUAGUCUGUGGGAGAUGGGACUGGUUCCCUGUGCUGUACAGCAGGCCCUCACUGUGCAUCCGUUCUAAAUAGAACAGUUUGGAUCUGCUAACCCCACCUCUUCACCCGUCCCACGCCCGCCUCCCUCCCCGUUGGCAACCACAAGUCUGUUCUCUGUGAGUCUGUUUCUCUUGUGUAGACAGGCUCAUUUGUGCCCCACUUGAGGUUCCACAUAGAUGGGACCUCACGUGCUGUCUGUCUCCCUCUUCCUGACUUCACUUAGUGUGGGAAUCUCUAGUUGCAUCCACGUUACUGCGAACGGCAGUCUUUUGUUUUUUUUUAAUGACUGAGGAGUAUUCCAUUGUGUGUAUGGAAUCUUCCUUAUCCAGUACUUUCGGGUUGUUUCCAUGUCUUGGCUGGCUGUUGUGAGUAGUGCUGGAGGGAACACAGGGGUGCGUGUACCUUUUUACAUUAUAGUUUUGUCUGGACAUGUGCCCAGGAGUGGGAUGGCUGGAUCGUGUGCUAGUUCUGUAUUGUUUUUCUCAGGUAGCUCCCCGCUGUUCUCCAUAGUGGUUGUACCAGUUUACAGUCCCACCAGCAGUGCAGGAGGGUUCCCUUUUCUCCACACCCGCUCCAGCAUUUGCUUUUUGUAGACUUAGUCAUGAUGGCUGUUCUGACCAGUGUGAGGUGGCACCUAGUGGUAGUUUUGAUUUGCACGUCUCUAAUAAUGAGUGAUGUUGAGCAUUUUUUCAAGUGCCUACUGGUCAUCCUUAUGUCUUCUUAGGUCUGAUGCCUGUUUUUCAGUUGGGCUGUUGAUUUUUUUUGUCAUUGAGCUGUAUGAGUUGUUUGUAUAUUUUGGAGAUUAAGCCCUUGUUGGUUGCAUCAUGUGCAACUAUUUUCUCCCAUUCUGCGAUACUUUAUUAAAAGCAAUCAUUGCUAUAAAGUAAAAAUAGCAUAAUUCAGUUGAAAAGAAGCAACAGAAUGGUGACAUGGUGUUUAUAGCUGUUACGUGUGACGAAGCCAAAAUAACGCAGUUGACUAAAAAGGUCACGGCUCGAUCAGUGAGCACAUGUCAUGAGUGAGUAGUUAACGUCACAGGCCAGGCACCCGCUGUGAGAGAACCGCACCUCCCGGGCAUUGAAGAAGUGCCCCUUUCAAAGGAAGAUGAGACCUCAGGAGACGCGCUCCGGAAGGCAGAUCAGGGACCAGAUAAACGGCAGUGCCUGUUGGAGAGUCCUGGAGUUUCAUCCUAAAAAUUAAUUUGAAACAGUAAAAAAAUCUGUCGAAAUUUAUUCACCAUAAAAAAAUAAUUUAGGAGUUCCUGUCGUGGCUCAGUGGUUAAUGAAUCCAACUGGGAACCAUGAGGUUGCGGGUUCGAUCCCUGGCCUCGCUCAGUGGGUUGGGGAUCCGGGGUUGCCAUGAGCUGUGGGGUAGGUCACAGACGCAGCUCGGAUCCCGCGUUGCUGUGGCUCUGGCGUAGACUGGCUGCUGUGGCUCCGAUUAGACUCCUAGCCUGGGAACCUUCAUAUGCUGCGGGUGCGGCCCUAAAAAAAAAAAAAAAAAAAAAAAAA
rnacentral:lncRNA from 1 species